UCCAGAGCUGUGAUGCAGUCCACAGGACAGACACUCUUGGACUCUCAAGACCAGAAGCUUCCUCUCUGUGAAUAUCCUGGAAGAAACCCAUAGAAGAGCAUAGAAGAAACUUUUGCUUUUUGACUGUUUACUCUCACCUCAUCAGCAAGCCUCUUCCUUCCUUGGCAUUAGAGCCUAUUUCUUCAGGAUUCCAGCAUAUACUGAAGACCAGCUGAGACACCCAGAUUCAUGGACUGAGCAACAACUGAAUUCUUUGAUCUGUUCAUAGGCAGCCAUUAUUGGACUAGCUGGACCAUAGCCUCUUCAGGCACCAACACUUCAAAAACCCAGAUCCCAUCUUCCAAGAGAUUCUAUGGCAAGAGAAUUUCCAGCCAAGGCUCAUGCAUCUGUUGAGUGGAGCACCUCCUUGAAGCACAAAAAGUAGCUCUCCACUGAGGGGCAGAGAAGACAGUGCACAGAACGUCAUCCUGUGCUUACAUAACGCUUUCAGGUUUAUUAAAUAAAAAGAAAUUUGGAUAUGGAGA